rnacentral:rRNA from 1 species
GUGGGGAAUCUUCCGCAAUGGACGAAAGUCUGACGGAGCAACGCCGCGUGAGUGAUGAAGGUCUUCGGAUUGUAAAGCUCUGUUAAUCGGGACGAAAGAGCCUAGUGUGAAUAAUGCUAGGAAGUGACGGUACCGGAAUAGAAAGCCACGGCUAACUACGUGCCAGCAGCCGCGGUAAUACGUAGGUGGCAAGCGUUGUCCUGAAUGAUUGGGCGUAAAGCGCGCGCAGGCGGAUCUGCCAGUCUGUCUUAAAAGUUCGGGGCUUAACCCCGUGAUGGGAUGGAAACUACAGAUCUAGAGUAUCGGAGAGGAAAGUGGAAUUCCUAGUGUAGCGGUGAAAUGCGUAGAUAUUAGGAAGAACACCAGUGGCGAAGGCGACUUUCUGGACGAAAACUGACGCUGAGGCGCGAAAGCCAGGGGAGCGAACGGGAUUAGAAACCCCUGUAGUCC